rnacentral:rRNA from 1 species
GUGAACGCUGGCGGUAGGCCUAACACAUGCAAGUCGAACGGCAGCACAGAGGAGCUUGCUCCUUGGGUGGCGAGUGGCGGACGGGUGAGGAAUACAUCGGAAUCUACUCUUUCGUGGGGGAUAACGUAGGGAAACUUACGCUAAUACCGCAUACGACCUUCGGGUGAAAGCAGGGGAUCGCAAGACCUUGCGCGAUUGAAUGAGCCGAUGUCGGAUUAGCUGGUUGGCGGGGUAAAGGCCCACCAAGGCGACGAUCCGUAGCUGGUCUGGGAGGAGAAUCAGCCACACCGGAACUGAGACACGGUCCAGGCUCCUACAGGAGGCAGCGGUGGGGAAUAUUGGACAAUGGGCGCAAGCCUGAUCCAGCCAUACCGCGUGGGUGGAGAAGGCCUUCGGGUUGUAAAGCCCUUUUGUUGGGAAAGAAAAGCACACGGUUAAUACCCGAGUGUUCUGACGGUACCCAAAGAAUAAGCACCGGCUAACUUCGUGCCAGCCGCCGCCGUAA